GUGGGGAAUAUUGGACAAUGGGCGCAAGCCUGAUCCAGCCAUGCCGCGUGAGUGAUGAAGGCCCUAGGGUUGUAAAGCUCUUUCACCGGUGAAGAUAAUGACGGUAACCGGAGAAGAAGCCCCGGCUAACUUCGUGCCAGCAGCCGCGGGAAUACGAAGGGGGCUCGCGUUGUCCGGAAUUACUGGGCGUAAAGCGCACGUAGGCGGACAUUUAAGUCAGGGGUGAAAUCCCAGAGCUCAACUCUGGAACUGCCUUUGAUACUGGGUGUCUUGAGUAUGGAAGAGGUAAGUGGAAUUCCGAGUGUAGAGGUGAAAUUCGUAGAUAUUCGGAGGAACACCAGUGGCGAAGGCGGCUUACUGGUCCAUUACUGACGCUGAGGUGCGAAAGCGUGGGGAGCAAACAGGAUUAGAAACCCCGGUAGUCC
rnacentral:rRNA from 1 species